AUUUGUUAAUGAUGAUAACCAAAGAUGCAUAGUUCAACUGAUUGAACAUACUAUCGAAAUGAAGAUAAAAAUUUCCAUCGAAAUUAGUCUUUCGCUCCUAUCUGAACAUUA
rfam:Saccharomyces cerevisiae Lalvin QA23 chromosome X QA23_c10_51, whole genome shotgun sequence.